UCCACAUGGCUGGGGAGGCCUCACAAUAAUGGUGGAAGGUGAACGGCACAUCUUACCUGGUGGCAGACAAGAGAGAAAAGAGAACCAUGCAAAAGCGGUUUCCCGUUAUAAAACCAUCAGAUCUCGUGAGACUUACUCACUACGACAAGAACAGUAUGAUUCAAUCAUCUCCCACUGGAGUUCAAGACUUCAAUCCCCUUGACAACCAAUUCCUAA
rnacentral:lncRNA from 1 species